rfam:Singulisphaera acidiphila DSM 18658, complete genome.
GAGGGUAGGUCCCUCGGGAUCGGGUUGCAGGACCAGAUUCCAAAUCACCCGAAGCGGCUUGGAUUAAGAGUCCUGGUCGUGAGCGUUCGGGAAAAGGCCGGUCUGAACCGGUCAGA